rnacentral:rRNA from 1 species
AUUUCCGCGUUCUGCGCGGAGUCAUUAAUGAAUCGGAGGGAGAGAUCCCUCCAGUGGGGUGUGCUGUAGCUGGCCUUUCGGGGCAUGUGCACGCACGCUUCGCAAAUCCACUCACACCUGUGCACUUCUGCGUGGGUCGGUCUGGUAUUCUAAACCUAGCCGGCUUCACGUCCUUUCACACACUCUUGUAUGUCAUAUGAAUGUCUAGUGAUGUUAUAAACGCAUCUAAUACAACUUUCAACAACGGAUCUCUUGGCUCUCGCAUCGAUGAAGAACGCAGCGAAAUGCGAUAAGUAAUGUGAAUUGCAGAAUUCAGUGAAUCAUCGAAUCUUUGAACGCACCUUGCGCCCUUUGGUAUUCCGAAGGGCACACCUGUUUGAGUGUCGUGAAAUCAUCAACUCUUACUUUCUUGAUUGAAAGUCUGAGAUUGGACUUGGAGGCUUUUGCUGGUCCUCGGAUCGGCUCCUCUUAAAUGUAUUAGUGUGGCUCGUUGCCAACGUACCUUUGGUGUGAUAAAUAUCUACGCUUCUGGUCACGUAGCUACUUGUGAGACGCGCUUCGAACCGUCCUUCAGUUGGACAAUUCAUGAAACUUGACCUCAAAUCAGGUGGGACUACCCGCUGAACUUAAGCAUAUCAAAA